GACGAACGCUGGCGGCGUGCCUAAUACAUGCAAGUAGAACGCACAGUUUAUACCGUAGCUUGCUACACCAUAGACUGUGAGUUGCGAACGGGUGAGUAACGCGUAGGUAACCUGCCUGGUAGCGGGGGAUAACUAUUGGAAACGAUAGCUAAUACCGCAUAAUAUUAAUUAUUGCAUGAUAAUUAAUUGAAAGGUGCAAUUGCACCACUACCAGAUGGACCUGCGUUGUAUUAGCUAGUAGGUGAGGUAACGGCUCACCUAGGCGACGAUACAUAGCCGACCUGAGAGGGUGAUCGGCCACACUGGGACUGAGACACGGCCCAGACUCCUACGGGAGGCAGCAGUAGGGAAUCUUCGGCAAUGGACGAAAGGCUGACCGAGCAACGCCGCGGGAGUGAAGAAGGUUUUCGGAUCGUAAAGCUCUGUUGUAAGAGAAGAACGGGUGUGAGAGUGGAAAGUUCACACUGUGACGGUAUCUUACCAGAAAGGGACGGCUAACUACGUG
rnacentral:rRNA from 1 species